AAUAUCUUCUUUUUUUUUUACUUCUUCAUCCAGAUCGAUUCAUACUAGUGUUAUCAAGUGUACAGAGAUUUUAAAGUUGUAAAUGAAGAAUUCAGAUGCAAACCCUCAAAUAAUUUCAGACCUUUAUCAAUUUGAUUAUUCUGUACAAAGCCGAAAACCAUCGAACUCCAAUGUAGGAAAACAAAUACUAUGGAAGUCAAUGGCUACCAACAUUUCUCUAAACAUCUUUUUCUUUUUGUGUUCAACAGAAAAAGAAAAAACUGAAAUAAGUGUGUGAAUCAUGAGUGAAUAAUGACAGAAUUUUCAGCUUUCAGUUUAGAGUUUGGAGUACUGUCCCUUUAAGAAUCUGCUCAAACAGGAAGUUGCAUUUCUAAAAAUUCCAAUGCUGGAUUAUAUUGCAGUCGGCACUU
rnacentral:lncRNA from 1 species